GUGGGGAAUAUUGCACAAUGGGCGAAAGCCUGAUGCAGCAACGCCGCGUGAGGGACGACGGCCUUCGGGUUGUAAACCUCUUUUAGUAGGGAAGAAGCGAAAGUGACGGUACCUGCAGAAAAAGCACCGGCUAACUACGUGCCAGCAGCCGCGGUAAUACGUAGGGUGCAAGCGUUAUCCGGAAUUAUUGGGCGUAAAGAGCUCGUAGGCGGUCUGUCGCGUCUGCUGUGAAAACUGGAGGCUCAACCUCCAGCCUGCAGUGGGUACGGGCAGACUAGAGUGCGGUAGGGGAGAUUGGAAUUCCUGGUGUAGCGGUGGAAUGCGCAGAUAUCAGGAGGAACACCGAUGGCGAAGGCAGAUCUCUGGGCCGUAACUGACGCUGAGGAGCGAAAGCGUGGGGAGCGAACAGGAUUAGAAACCCUGGUAGUCC
rnacentral:rRNA from 1 species